rnacentral:rRNA from 1 species
CCAAAAGCUGGCGACCGGCGCACGGGUGAGUAACACGUAUCCAACCUGCCUCAUACUCGGGGAUAGCCUUUCGAAAGAAAGAUUAAUAUCCGAUAGCAUAUAUUUCCCGCAUGGGUUUUAUAUUAAAGAAAUUCGGUAUGAGAUGGGGAUGCGUUCCAUUAGUUUGUUGGGGGGUAACGGCCCACCAAGACUACGAUGGAUAGGGGUUCUGAGAGGAAGGUCCCCCACACUGGUACUGAGACACGGACCAG